CGGGGGGAGGGGGCGGGUCCCUCAGCCUGGAUAGUGAGAGGGCACAGGCCAGGCUGAGGGACCCCACUGGUGCAUG
rnacentral:pre_miRNA from 1 species